UACAGGGGGUGCAAACGUUGCUCGGAAUUAUUGGGCGUAAAGCGCGCGUAGGCGGCUACCUAAGUCGGAUGUGAAAGCCCCUGGCUUAACUGGGGAAGUGCACCCGAAACUGGGUAGCUAGAGUGCAAAAGAGGGUCGCGGAAUUCCCGGUGUAGAGGUGAAAUUCGUAGAUAUCGGGAGGAACACCAGUGGCGAAGGCGGCGAUCUGGGAAGAUACUGACGCUGAGGUGCGAAAGCGUGGGGAGCAAACAGG
rnacentral:rRNA from 1 species